AAACCGGAGCUAAUACCGGAUAAUAUUUGAACCGCAUGGUUCAAAAGUGAAAGACGGUCUUGCUGUCACUUAUAGAUGGAUCCGCGCUGCAUUAGCUAGUUGGUAAGGUAACGGCUUACCAAGGCAACGAUGCAUAGCCGACCUGAGAGGGUGAUCGGCCACACUGGAACUGAGACACGGUCCAGACUCCUACGGGAGGCAGCAGUAGGGAAUCUUCCGCAAUGGGCGAAAGCCUGACGGAGCAACGCCGCGUGAGUGAUGAAGGUCUUCGGAUCGUAAAACUCUGUUAUUAGGGAAGAACAUAUGUGUAAGUAACUGUGCACAUCUUGACGGUACCUAAUCAGAAAGCCACGGCUAACUACGUGCCAGCAGCCGCGGUAAUACGUAGGUGGCAAGCGUUAUCCGGAAUUAUUGGGCGUAAAGCGCGCGUAGGCGGUUUUUUAAGUCUGAUGUGAAAGCCCACGGCUCAACCGUGGAGGGUCAUUGGAAACUGGAAAACUUGAGUGCAGAAGAGGAAAGUGGAAUUCCAUGUGUAGCGGUGAAAUGCGCAGAGAUAUGGAGGAACACCAGUGGCGAAGGCGACUUUCUGGUCUGUAACUGACGCUGAUGUGCGAAAGCGUGGGGAUCAAACAGGAUUAGAUACCCUGGUAGUCCACGCCGUAAACGAUGAGUGCUAAGUGUUAGGGGGUUUCCGCCCCUUAGUGCUGCAGCUAACGCAUUAAGCACUCCGCCUGGGGAGUACGACCGCAAGGUUGAAACUCAAAGGAAUUGACGGG
rnacentral:rRNA from 1 species